rnacentral:rRNA from 1 species
UUGUGAGGUUAAGCGACUAAGCGUACACGGUGGAUGCCCUGGCAGUCAGAGGCGAUGAAGGACGUGCUAAUCUGCGAUAAGCGUCGGUGAGGUGAUAUGAACCGUUAUAACCGGCGAUUUCCGAAUGGGGAAACCCAGUGUGUUUCGACACACUAUCAUUAACUGAAUCCAUAGGUUAAUGAGGCGAACCGGGGGAACUGAAACAUCUAAGUACCCCGAGGAAAAGAAAUCAACCGAGAUUCCCCCAGUAGCGGCGAGCGAACGGGGAGGAGCCCAGAGCCUGAAUCAGUGUGUGUGUUAGUGGAAGCGUCUGGAAAGGCGCGCGAUACAGGGUGACAGCCCCGUACACAAAAAUGCACAUAUUGUGAGCUCGAUGAGUAGGGCGGGACACGUGGUAUCCUGUCUGAAUAUGGGGGGACCAUCCUCCAAGGCUAAAUACUCCUGACUGACCGAUAGUGAACCAGUACCGUGAGGGAAAGGCGAAAAGAACCCCGGCGAGGGGAGUGAAAAAGAACCUGAAACCGUGUACGUACAAGCAGUGGGAGCCUCUUAAUGGGGUGACUGCGUACCUUUUGUAUAAUGGGUCAGCGACUUAUAUUCUGUAGCAAGGUUAACCGAAUAGGGGAGCCGAAGGGAAACCGAGUCUUAACUGGGCGUUAAGUUGCAGGGUAUAGACCCGAAACCCGGUGAUCUAGCCAUGGGCAGGUUGAAGGUUGGGUAACACUAACUGGAGGACCGAACCGACUAAUGUUGAAAAAUUAGCGGAUGACUUGUGGCUGGGGGUGAAAGGCCAAUCAAACCGGGAGAUAGCUGGUUCUCCCCGAAAGCUAUUUAGGUAGCGCCUCGUGAAUUCAUCUCCGGGGGUAGAGCAC